UCAGGCUCAGUCCCCUCCCGA
rnacentral:ncRNA from 7 species